AAUAGUGUUGCAAACUAAAUAUCGACUGCUUAAAAGUCUUGCUACUUUUGUAUGUAUAUAAAUGUAGGAUGAAAAAUAAAUAUGAUUUACGUCACAAAUGUAAAGUUUAGUCGUUAAUUUUUUUAGGUUUUCGUAGGUUACAUAGAUGUUACACGUGUAUAAGAUAAAUAUAGAUACAGCACAUCCCACACAGCUAUAUUUACCUACUAGUUUUGUUGAAGGGUAAUUC
rnacentral:lncRNA from 1 species